GACGGAGGAGGCAAGCGUUAUCCGGAAUUAUUGGGCGUAAAGGGUACGUAGGCGGCUGGUCAAGUCUGGGGUCAAAGGCCACAGCUCAACUGUGGGAAGGCCCUGGAAACUGGCCGGCUAGAGUGAGGUAGGGGUUGCGGGAAUUCCAGGUGUAGCGGUGAAAUGCGUAGAGAUCGGGAAGAACACCUGAGGCGGAAGCGCGCAACUGGGCCUCAACUGACGCUGAGGUAAGAAAGCUAGGGGAGCGAAUGGG
rnacentral:rRNA from 1 species